GGAUUAGCCCCAGUAGCGGCGAGUGAAGCGGCAAAAGCUCCAUUUUGAAAGCGCCUCGGCGCGUUGUAGAGCGGUGCGGUCUUAAGGGUGGCGUGGCAGCGAAGUCCCCUGGAACGGGGUGCCAGAGAGGGUGAGAGCCCCGUGCGCUGUGCCAAGCCCAGAAGUCCGUGCCACGGAGUCGAGUUGUUUGGGAAUAAUAACAGAUCGUU
rnacentral:rRNA from 1 species